rnacentral:lncRNA from 1 species
UGUUGUGAAUGAGCCCCAGGAUGGGCCGCAGGAUGUCUUUCUUCCCUGAAAAAGAACAAAUCACCUGCUGCCUCGGCAGGACAGGAUUUCUGCCAAUCCCACCUGUAAGCAGCGUUCAUGGCUUCCAGACAAAGUGGGGGCCCGGGGCCUGCAGAACAGUCGGCCACAUUCACCAGCCUGUCUCUCCUCUGGACCUCUUGGCACAAGCUUUUACUCUCCAGACUGUGUGUGUUUGGUUGAAUUGAAAUAAACACAGCAGGAUUUUGUUUUAGUUUGUUGUUUGUUUUGCAGAACGAGGUCUUAGAGGAAGGACUUCCCAGCCAAACUUGACCCCACACAGGCCAGAGAGAAGCGGUAGGGAGGGCGGCGAGAAGGAACUAUGAAGUAAAAUGGGGACUGGUGUGGGGACUGACUUCCUCCCCCAAAAACCUGGAAC